rnacentral:rRNA from 1 species
GAUGAACGCUGGCGGCGUGCCUAAUACAUGCAAGUCGAGCGAACAGACGAGGAGCUUGCUCCUCUGACGUUAGCGGCGGACGGGUGAGUAACACGUGGAUAACCUACCUAUAAGACUGGGAUAACUUCGGGAAACCGGAGCUAAUACCGGAUAAUAUAUUGAACCGCAUGGUUCAAUAGUGAAAGACGGUUUUGCUGUCACUUAUAGAUGGAUCCGCGCCGCAUUAGCUAGUUGGUAAGGUAACGGCUUACCAAGGCAACGAUGCGUAGCCGACCUGAGAGGGUGAUCGGCCACACUGGAACUGAGACACGGUCCAGACUCCUACGGGAGCCAGCAGUAGGGAAUCUUCCGCAAUGGGCGAAAGCUUGACGGAGCAACGCCGCGUGAGUGAUGAAGGUCUUCGGAUCGUAAAACUCUGUUAUUAGGGAAGAACAACUGUGUAAGUAACUAUGCACGUCUUGACGGUACCUAAUCAGAAAGCCACGGCUAACUACGUG